rnacentral:lncRNA from 1 species
AAUUCAAUAGAGGUCAUCAGUAGAUGCUAAAACCAUUAGGUGUAGGCAUUACAUACAUAUCUGGCCGCAAGGCCUGGGCAAUCAGCUGAGAAGCCAUCUCAGUGUGAGCCAGAGAGUCGUCAAGCAGCAGCGGCUGCUCUGGGUCUAACAGUAGUAGUAGAACCUCUGCUCCUACUCUGAGCCCUCUCCUGGGCUUGGUGUUGUAUCUCAUUCUCAACGCAACCAUGUCCCUUCCUCCUGGACAACGGUGCAGCAGUGGCAAGGAGAGACGAGGUCCCUUAGGGACACCAGAACAGAGAAUGCAGCAUCUGAUUUCCUCAGAUUGAUUUCCCUCUGUUUUUCUAGCUCCAUCCACUCCAGCCCAUGAAUCUUCUCCAAAAACGAGAGCAGAGCAUUCAGCAGCUAUGGGCCAUCAGUAAGGGCCAUUUAGCACUCACCCCUGCUCCAUUACAAGGCCUGUCCCAGUAGCCAGUGAAUAACUGCAUGAAGAGGCUCUCAGAUGCUGCCAACUGCCCAGGUGAGUUUGCCCUGGAAGUGAUAAACAUCUUACCAGGAAGAAACCAACAUUUAGAAUGCCUCAUAAAGAAAGAAUCCACUAAGCUGAAUAUAAGACAGAAUAAACAGGUUAAAAAAAAGAAAAAAAGAUUUACCUAUAAGGAGUAGGUACCUACAAAAAACAGGUCGUGUGACUUUAGCUCCUCCAGGAGGAAAGGCAGCUCCUGAAUCCAUGACUGUUAUAUAGGAAGAAAGGGAUACUCUUCUUUUUUUUUUCUCACCAAAUCCAUUAAGAGUUCCAAAGGUGGAUUAAUGGAGCUACAGAAUAGAAAUUUGGUAAUAGCCCACUGUCCUCACAAGAAAAAGACCUCCAUCCAUGUUGUGCAAGAAUCAGCUGACUCCCAUUACCACCCAUCCCAGUUAGGCCCUUCUUCUUCAAGAGGAGCCUAUAAACUGGCUCCUACAAUGUGACUGCAGCCCGGUCACAAGGCAGUCUGGAAGGUAAAUGUCUUGCAAAAAUAAUGCUGUAAAUUCCCUGAACUCAUACUCUUUGGCAGAAGGGAGAGAUCAUGGUGGGGAAACCAAAAACCAACUGGAAGAAAUGGAAGAGCUGACUUAGAGAAGGAAAUUGAAAUGUAGUUUGAGAGAGAGAAACUGAAAUAGAGCUCAAAUAUAAGCCAGCUAUUAGUGAGAAGAUUAGACUUAAGAGGAGAGUCCUGUAUGGACACUUGGUUUUCAAAACUUGGAAGACCAAGAAUAAACAGCUCAAACAGGCCAAUGACACUGUGGAGAGGGACUUAGCUGAUAAAGGGAAAGGAAUUCAAAAGCAUUUUGUGGACAUGGAUAUUCAAAACAAGAAGUUAUAAUCCUAAUUGUAGGACAUAAAGAUGACACAGGAUAACCCUCUGAGACAAGACAGUGCCUGGAUUUCAAGAUUUUCCAGAAAAGAAAACCUUAACUUCCAACACCUCCAAUGGCAAAAUGGAGAGCAUGUUGUCUCUGGAAAAGUAGUCACAGAGUAAGGGGACAACAGUGAGUUGACACGACAGAUGAUGUGACUAAUGGCUCUGAUUUGUUUGAUGAGAUUUUGAUGGUUACCACCACCGAGUUUGGUCCCCUUCUUUCCAUAGCCUCUCUCUCCAUCCCUGAAGCAAAGGGCCAAGAAGCCUCCACAUUGCAGUGACCCUGCGGCGUGAUGCCAGACGGGGCCACCAGAUCUUUGGGGUUCUUGGUGGAGUCGCUCAUCAUCCAGAACGUGUCCAAGUUCCGGGAGCACAGGUCAUCUGACAAGUCUGGUGCUGACGGGCAGAAACUCCCGGUGGGCCUUUGUAAGGAUGAGCCUUUUGUUGAACAGCAGGCAAAGCGACCUGGGCCCAGUUCCCAGAUCCUGUAGCGCAAGGAAGACUCGUUCCUGUGCCAACUCCAGCAGCACAACGCUGGCGUUUGCAGCCCAGAAGAAAGAAUCACGGAUGGCAUGGCGCCCAGCUCCGCCUGCGGGUCUGCUGUCCCAUGGCCAGACCCACAGGGACAGUCCCAAGCUGCGCCUUCCCACCCACGUGCAGGCCUGCUCCUCGGGGCCUGAGCAGACGCAGCAGGUCCGCGCGGUCUGCUGCUCGCGCUCCUUCUUGUGCAACUGAAAGCAACGAUCGUUGACAGUUCCAACCGUCCUUGCUCAGUGGCUGUUUUCAACUGGAAGAUCACAGUGCCCCAAGUCAAGGAAAGGCCCAAAAAUACUGAAGACAGAGAUCCUGGCAAAACAAUACCUACCACAAGGAAACAGGAAUGAAGAAGGAAAUUGAGAAUGCCGGACCUUCUAAAACCUUAAGCAUGGGCCUCAGGCCUACAGCAUCCCGUGGAAGUUUAGUAGGUUUGCACAAUUUCAGACCUCAUGCUGGACUGACCAAAUGAGAAUCUACAUAUUAACAGAUUCCUAGGCUCCCUCUGUGUUUACCAAUACAGGUAAUACAAGGUACUUGGUUGUGCAGAGCAACAUGGUGAGGUGUGGUCUCAGCUCCAGCUCAGCCUCUAGGCUCUCUCCCCUUCACUCUCACCCUAGUCUUCCUGUUCACACACAUCCACUGAAUUCCUGGGCAAAGAUGAAGGCAGGGAGUAAAACGAUCAAGAAGUAUUUCAAAUCAAUAGUGUUCAACUUUAGCUUUUGAAAGCCUGGCUUCAAAUAAAUGUACAAUAAAUUCUUGAUCAUUCCUUCUCCCUUCAAACAGAAGUUUUUAAUUUUCAUGAAGUCCAGUUCAUCAAUUAUUUCAUGGAUGGUGCCUUUGGUGUCAUAUCUAAAAAGUCAUUGCCAUACCCAAGACGCUCCAUUCUGAAGGAUUUAGUGUUAAACCCAGCCUUAAAAGAGCUGAAAGGCACAGUCACCAACCUGCUUGAAAGAUAACCAAGUCGGAGGUCUCCGGGGCUUGGCCUCCAUCAGACGAGGACUGCGAGGAAGGAGAGGACUGAGGCAGUGUGGGAGAUAGAAACCAGAGGGAAGUCAAGGAUUACAAGAUAUUCCAAAUACCCAUCUGAGCAGCUAAUGCAUGGGCUUUCCCACCUCUUUAAUCACACUCAUGCAACCAUCAAGAAAUAUCAAGAAAGACAAUUUCUUCAGCACACCAGAUUCCCAUCUAUGCCCUCUCAAAGCAACUACGUUCCCCAGUGUGCUCGUUACUCUGAUUUCUACUAUCAAAAAGUGGUUUGCCUGUUUCAGCUUCAUGUAAAUAGGAUCAAACUGCAUGUAUUGUUUUGAAUCUGGAUACUUUUGAUGACAUUGUGAGAUUCAUUCAUGUUGUUAGAUGUAAAUAUCUUUAUUCACUUUGGUUUCUCUGUGUUAUUCCAUUGUAUAAAUGUACCACUUAUACCAAUUUACUGAUCCAUUUUACUACUUAUUGGCAUUUGGGCUUUGUCAAUUUGGGGGUUCUUAUGGAUACUGCUGCUGUGAGAAAAUUUGUACAUGUCUUUUGGUAGACAUAUGUACAUUUUUCGGGAGGUUUAAAUCUAAGACUGAAAUAAUUGGUUCACUCAUCAAGUUCACUAUAUUUUUUGUCUGCUAUGUCUAAUCUGCUGUUAAUCUGUCAUUGUAUUUUCAUCUGUCAUUGUAGUUUUCACCUCUACUACUUUGAUUUUGGCCUUUUUGUUUAAAAUUGACUUCGACUUCUAUGUCUACUUAUCUUUUUGAACAGAAGGCAUACAGCUAUUAUGAUGCAUUUAAUGUCCUUGGUCUACUAAUUCUAACAUCCAUAUCAGCUCUGGGCUGUAUUCGAUUGAUUUUUCUUUUCUUAAGGGUCGUAUUUCCUCAGCCUUUGACUGACAAAUGCCUAGUAAUCUUUGAUUGGGUAUCUGACGUUGUGAAUUACACCUUUUUGGUGAAUAUUUUUUAUUCUUGAGCUUUACUUUGGACACACUGAAGUUACCUGAAAAAUGUGAUAAUUUUGGGUCUUGCUUUUAAAAUGUAUUAGGUGGAACCAGAGAAGUUCUCAGUCUAGGGCUCAUUAUUUCACACACAAUUAACCCAAGACUCAUCUGAGGACUCUAUGCAGUACCCCUUGAAUUAUUAGGUUUUUCAGUCUGGCUAGUAGGAACAGGCACUAUACCCAGCUCUGUGUUACUACUGCAUACUGUUCCUUCUAAUUCUUUUACAUGGUUCUUUCCCCAGCCCCAGGAAGUUUCUUUACAUGCAUGUGCUCACCAAUCCCCUGCUAAAUUGUUAAAUUCUCAGGAGUAGGGAGGGGGUGAAGUUCUUCAUAUAUUUCUGGUUGUCUUCUGUGCAGCUUUUUAUCUGAUUCACUUCUGGAUAUGCAUACGAAAAUAAGGUUGUACAAUACAAACCCUUUUGCAAUGUGCCUUUACAAUAUUGCAUAGUAUGUAUGUUCCAUAAUUUAUUUUAAUUUUUCCCUAUAAAAAAUAAUAUCAAAGUGUUUCAUUCUGUGAGUUUAUUAUUUAAUACAUUUUUUUAAGCAACAAUGUAUUAAAUGAGCAAGGAAAUAGAGGGUUUGAAUAAUCAACCAGCUCAUCUAAAUAGAAAUGUACAGAAUUUUGUAUAUAGCAUUAAAAUGUAUACAUACUUCUUAUAUCCAUGAAAAAUUUGCAAAAGCCAAUCUGUUAUUUGGCUAUAAAAAUUCUUAUGAACUCUCAAUAAAAAUAGAAAUGAACAACAAAAAAUUUUCAAGAACACAAUUUCAAAAUUAGAGUAUUGUCUACCAAAUUACUUCUAUAAUAAUGAGUACAUCUAAUCUAAAAUUAUAAAUUAAAGAUAAGGUUUCAGGGGCCAGCCCAGUGGUGUGGUGGUUAAGUGUGCAUGUUCCACUUUGGUGGCCUGGGGCUCCCGGGUGCGGACAUGGCACCACUUGGCAAGCCAUGCUGUGGCAGGCGUCCCACAUAUAAAGUAGAGGAAGAUGGGCA